rnacentral:misc_RNA from 1 species
GGUUUUGGUGUACAGAUUGAUCAAUACCUGCCUAGCGUUCGGGACCACAUCAAGACCCACAAUCCCCGUUGUCUGCUUCACCUUGGCCAUCAAUGGCCGUCCAAUCACCCGAAGAAACAUUGCUAAGGUGAAUCUCUCCGUAGAUCACUUCUUCUGAACUUUUUCGAUCUUCUUCUCGGGGAGCUCUCUCGCUGCGUUCUUUCCAGUGUGGAGAGAAAUGGGGAGUGAUCGC